AGCAGCCGCGGUAAUUCCAGCUCCAAUAGCGUAUAUUAAAGUUGUUGCAGUUAAAAAGCUCGUAGUUGAAUUUCGGGGUCUGUCCGUCACAGUCCGUACUGGUGUGAUGGGUUCCUACCUUCUGAAUAACCGGCAUGCCAUUCAGUUGGUGCGCCGGGGAAGCAGAGCUAUUACCUUGAAAAAAUUAGAGUGCUUAAAGCAGGCUAGUGCUUGAAUAGAUUAGCAUGGAAUAAUAAAAUAGGACGGCAUGAUUCUAUUUUGUUGGUUUCUAGGAUCACCGUAAUGAUUAAUAGGGAUAGUUGGGGGCAUUAGUAUUCAAUUGUCAGAGGUGAAAUUCUUGGAUUUAUUGAAGACUAACUUCUGCGAAAGCAUUUGCCAAGGAUGUUUUCAUUAAUUAAGAACGAAAGUUAGGGGAUCGAAGACGAUCAGAUACCGUCGUAGUCUUAACCAUAAACUAUGCCAACUAGGGAUCGGACGAUGUUAAUUUUUAAUGACUCGUUCGGCGCCUUACGGGAA
rnacentral:rRNA from 1 species